UCGAUAUAAGCGACACGUCGUUUGUGUCCUUGCAACUCCACCAGCCAUUCGGUCAAAUUCCUUGACAAUCCGCCAUCAGUGCAAUCAUCGGAACAGGACGCGAUGAUGUUGUCAUUGAAUGGAUUCCAUUUGAUGUCCAAAACAGGACCGGUAUGUCCAGUUACUCGGCUGGCGUUGAAGUCAAGUCGUCCGGUCUGCAACAAGUGUGACAAAUGAUUGAUGUAUUGCUAUGUACUGAUGAACGCGACAUAAAUAUGUUAUAUGAAAAUCUGUAAUUAAUUGACUAGAAUCGAUAAAUCGAUAAGGCACAGACUACUCACGCGAUCCAAUGAUAACACAAGGAACGCUCCACCGCCCG